ensembl:lncRNA CFAP20DC-AS1 CFAP20DC antisense RNA 1
ACAAGCAGCUUUGCUUUUCCAUGAUCAAGCUGCUAGAGAUUUUGGGGUGAGGGAGCGAAAUGAAGGCUAAAUAAAAGAACCGGAGAUAAGAUAAUCCUGCCAUGUUAAAAGAUAUGGUGUAAUAAAGAUGCCAACCUGAUUGAUCAGGAGACUGGGGUCCUAGAGUGCCGGAGUUCAACAGCUCUGCUCCUUGUUGGGACACAGUGGCUGUGGCAACGCUCUGGUCUUUGUGGAGAGAGGAGCCUGGUGUCAGCAAAGGCAGCAGCAGGACUGGCAGCCAAGAUGGCCGAAUAGGAACAGCUCCGGUCUACAGCUCCCAGCGUGAGCGACGCAGAAGACGGGUGAUUUCUGCAUUUCCACCUGAGGAAUUUUGAAAUUGCCUGGUGGACUAGAAAUGAAGCAAAACACAGAAAAACCUGAGAUGAAAGAUGGAGAGUGCUUAAGGGGAACUAGUACUGGCUUCCAUGCCCAGCUGCAUCACUGCCCCUUGAGCUUCCCGUGACAUCCCAAAAAACUUGCGAUUGAAGCUCCCGCUGUGCUUUAAUUCACUCCAGUUGAUGUGGUGAACAGAAAUGAGUCCAAAUGACACUAGUCCCACCCCACAACUUUCGCAACUUUACUGCUAAAAAUUAACUCAAGUGCCUUUUGGCAAAUGGAAUAUACACUGCUGAUUCUGAUAUUGUAAUCUUUAGUGACCUAUGACAUGGUUCCAUCACCGAGCUGAGGAGAAACAAACAAAACAAAAAACCCUACAUCCAUUUUUUGGUUGUUGUUGGAUACCAGAAAAGUCUCAUACAUCCUCCUUACAAUUUUUUAAAUUCCAGGUUAAACAGCUAUUACUGUUUACUUGUGAGAGUAUCAGUUAGGACUCUUUUAUGUCAAAAGUUAAUAGAAAAUCCAACUUGAGCUAGUUCACCUAAAUGGAAUGCUCACAUUAUUGGAAACCACAGAGGUAGGGCAGGCUUCAGGAAUGAUUGAUUCGGCAGCUCAAAGCUGUCAUCAAUGACCCAAUUUCUUUGUUUCUCCCUUUCUGCCAUCUGGUGUCAGCUCUGUCCUCAUGGUCACAGGACGGGUGCCAGCUACAAACAGAGUGCAGCCCAGUCUAGCAUCCCAAACAAGAGUCAUAAAAGUCACUCAAUUGGCCCAGCAUAGGUCAGAUUCCCAUUCCUAAAAGAAUAAUGUGGCUAAAUAAAUGAAAUGCACUAAUUGACCUAUCAAUCAAAGCCCACUCCAGGGGCUAGAGUGUGAUCCAUUUUACUAGACACACAUAGGCUGCACUGGCCAGGGGAGAUACCCAAACAAAGAUCAGAUAAUUUUUGGAGGAGAAACAUGUGGCAAACUAUGCUAGGUAGACAACUAAUAAAUGUCUACCACACUUGGUUCUUCCAUGUGUUACUAGAAAAUAACUUUAAAAUUCCACUUUAUUUUGUAACCAUUACAGUAAUAAUUAGUUCAGGCAAGAAUCAUCAUGCUAAACUGGUGAAUGAGAGCUUAAUGAGGAAGAAGAUAUUUAUAAAGUCUCAAAUUAUAUCCCCACAAAUGACUCAACUAAUAUUAAAGUAAAAACAUAGUAACUUUACUAUGAGAAAACCUGGUAGAGACCACCUUAACCAAGUGAUUGAAGUUAACAUCAGCUGUAAACAUCAUAAGCCUCCUGAUAAACUGCACUGAGAAGGACACAACAUCACUUUAUAGUACAUUUCACCAAAGAUGCAUAACAUGAAUCUAAUCCUAAGAAAACAUCAGACAAACUCAAUUAAGGGGCAUUCUACAAAAUAACUGACCUGUACUUUUCAGCAGUGUCACUGAUGUGAAAGACACAGAAAGGCUGAGGAAACAUUACAAAUUAAUGGAGACAAGUGAAAACUAAAGGUAGUGUGUAAUUCUGGAUCAAAAACAUAAUUGCUAUGAAGGACAGUAUGUCUAUAUCAUAGAUAGUAGUACUGCAUCAAUGUUAAAUGGUUUUGAAAAUUGUACUGUGGUCAUGUAGUGAACGUCUUUGUCCUUAGUAAAUAUACACUGAAGUGUUUAAUAAAGGAGUAUGAAGUGUGCAACAUACUCUCAAAUAGCUUGAGGAAAAAAAUGUGUAUAC